rnacentral:rRNA from 1 species
AGCGAACGCUGGCGGCAGGCCUAACACAUGCAAGUCGAACGAACUCUUCGGAGUUAGUGGCGGACGGGUGAGUAACACGUGGGAACGUGCCUUUAGGUUCGGAAUAACUCAGGGAAACUUGUGCUAAUACCGAAUGUGCCCUUCGGGGGAAAGAUUUAUCGCCUUUAGAGCGGCCCGCGUCUGAUUAGCUAGUUGGUGAGGUAAAGGCUCACCAAGGCGACGAUCAGUAGCUGGUCUGAGAGGAUGAUCAGCCACAUUGGGACUGAGACACGGCCCGAACUCCUACGGGAGGCAGCAGUGGGGAAUCUUGCGCAAUGGGCGAAAGCCUGACGCAGCCAUGCCGCGUGAAUGAUGAAGGUCUUAGGAUUGUAAAAUUCUUUCACCGGGGACGAUAAUGACGGUACCCGGAGAAGAAGCCCCGGCUAACUUCGUG